AGAGUUUGAUCCUGGCUCAGGAUGAAUGUUGGCGGCGUGCCUGAGAUAUGCAAGUCGAGCGAAGUUCUGACCGCAAGGUUGGAAUUAAGCGGCGGACGGCUGAGUAACACGUAGGGACCUGCCCCUGUCUGGAGGAUAGCCCCGAGAAAUCGGGGAUAAUACUCCAUGGUCUCCGACGUCACGUCGGAGUAAAGAGAGUAACUUCUUGGAAAGGGAUGGACCUGCGUCCUAUCAGGUAGUUGGUGAGGUAACGGCUCACCAAGCCUACGACGGGUAGCUGGCCCGAGAGGGUGGUCAGCCAGAGGGGAACUGAGAUACGGUCCCCACUCCUACGGGAGGCAGCAAUCAGGAAUAGUCGGCAAUGGGCGAAAGCCUGACCGCGCGACGUCGCGUGUAGGAAGAAGCUCUAACGAGCGUAAACUACUGUGGUAGGGGAAGAAGGGCAGCUCAGCUGCCUUGACGGUACCCUACUAGAAAGGGGCCGCUAACUGCGUGCCAGAAGCGUCGGUAAUACGUGGGCCCCAAACAUUAUCCGGUUUUACUGGGCGUAAAAGGUCGUGUAGGUGGCUUAUUAAGUUAUCUUUUAAAUUUUUCCGCUCAACGGGAAUACCGAAGAUAAUACUAAUAAACUAGAGUUUUCUUAAGGGAGACUGGAACUUAGGGAGGAGUAGUGAAAUGCGUUGAUACCCUAGGGAACACUCGUGGCGAAGGCGAGUCUCUGGAAGAUAACUGACACUGAGACACGAAAGCUAGGGGAGCGAAGCAGAUUAGAGACCUGCGUAGUCCUAGCCUUAAACGAAUGCUUGCUAGCUGCAUGUCUGGCUUUGCCAGACGUGUGGCGUAGGUAACCCGAUAAGCAGGCUGCCUGGGGAGUACGGCCGCAAGGUUGAAACUCAAAGGAAUUGGCGGGGAGGCACACAACCAGUGGAACAUGUGGUUUAAUUCGAAACGAACCGAAGAACCUCACCAGGGUUUGACAUCCCGACGUUCUAUUUCUUGGAAACAAGGAAAAUGCGUAAGCAGGUCGGGACAGGUACUGCAUGGCUGUCGUCAGCUCGUUCCGUGAGGAGUGCCCUUAAGUGGGACAACGAGCGCAACCCCCAUCCUGUGUUAUAUCUAUCACAGGAGACUGCCCCAGCUUAGCUGGGGAGGAAGGAGGGGCAGACGUCAAGUCAGCACGGUCCUUAUACCCUGGGCUACACACAUGUUACAAUGGAUAGAAACAAUGGGCUUCGCAAACCUGCAAAGGCUAGCAAAUCCCUUAAAUCUGUCCUCAGUGGGGAUUGAGGUCUGCAACUCGACCUCAUGAACACGGAAUUGGUAGUAAUCGCGGAUCAGUCAUGCCGCGGUGAAUACGUUCUUGCCUCUUGCACACACCGCCCGUCAAGCCAACAAAGUCGAAAAAAUUUGAAGCCAGCUUAGCUGGCGAGGAUUCUUCCGGCGAUGGGGGUUAAGUCGUAACAAGGUAUCCGUUCUGGAAGGAGCGGAUGGAUCACCUCCUUU
rnacentral:rRNA from 1 species